CGCGUAGGCGGCUUUUCAAGUCGGGGGUGAAAGCCUGUGGCUCAACCACAGAAUUGCCUUCGAUACUGUUAGGCUUGAGACCGGAAGAGGUGAGUGGAACUGCGAGUGUAGAGGUGAAACUCGUAGAUAUUCGCAAGAACACCAGUGGCGAAGGCGGCUCACUGGUCCGGUUCUGACGCUGAGGCGCGAAAGCGUGGGAGCAAACA
rnacentral:rRNA from 1 species